rnacentral:rRNA from 1 species
UACGAAGGGUGCAAGCGUUACUCGGAAUUACUGGGCGUAAAGCGCGCGUAGGUGGUGAGUUAAGUCUGUCGUGAAAGCCCCGGGCUCAACCUGGGAAUGGCGAUGGAUACUGGCUCGCUAGAGUGCGGUAGAGGAGAGUGGAAUUCCCGGUGUAGCAGUGAAAUGCGUAGAGAUCGGGAGGAACAUCAGUUGCGAAGGCGGCUCUCUGGACCAGCACUGACACUGAGGCACGAAAGCGUGGGGAGCAAACAGG